UACAGAGGUCUCAAGCGUUGUUCGGAUUCAUUGGGCGUAAAGGGUGCGUAGGCGGCGCGGUAAGUCGGGUGUGAAAUCUUGGAGCUUAACUCCGAAACUGCAUUCGAUACUGCGGUGCUUGAGGACUGGAGAGGAGACUGGAAUUCAUGGUGUAGCAGUGAAAUGCGUAGAGAUCAUGAGGAAGACCAGUGGCGAAGGCGGGUCUCUGGACCACUACUGACGCUGAGGAACGAAAGCUAGGGGAGCAAACAGG
rnacentral:rRNA from 1 species